AAAAAAAGAAAAAAUAUAAAGAAAUUAAAAUAAGGCGGUUUUAAGAAGGCUCAGGGGGUGUUUUAUUUUAUUGUGAGCCUUUUAUUUUUAUCUGACCAAAAUUAAUACACACCAUAUUAAUUAUUGCAUUUGACUACAUAAUAAUAAUAAUAAUAGAGUGGAAGAAAUAAUACUAUGAUUGUUUGAAAUGCGUUUAGCUAAAUGGCAUAUCGUCUAUUUUAGAUAAUGAUCGUUAACACCAUUUUUUAAAUCAGUUUAGCCUACCUUUAUUUGAUUGCUGUUCAUUUGUUGUUGAAAUACGGCUUAGAUUGGAAAUAUUUUCACUAUUCGAUCAUGCACCGUCCUCAUGUAAUCAAUAUCAUAUUCUUUAAAAUGUUACUCUCAAAUAAAUUAAGCUAUAGCUUUGAAAAAAUUGAUGUCAAAUAGAAACGAGAGGUGCAAAAGCUUAAAUCCGCCAUAAAAUGAAUAAAGAAAAAAUAACAACAACAAAAACAAGUGUACUUGCAUUCGUAUUCAUUUGGACAACGUGGUCAAAUUCAAGGAAUCGACUCUUUUGUGUUCGAAACUUCAUCACUAUUGCGCAUGUUUCCUCAAAGCAUCACACUCAGCACGUAGAAGACACCAGUCCACGCGGGAAUACUGAGGCCUCUUUUAUCUCCUCUUCCACACCAGUUGAGCUGUUUGGCCACUGGACCAAACACUUUGGAGGCUACACGCCAAAUGGUUUUUUUCAGAGUUUGUCCUCCUCUGAUGGAUAACCUCUUCAUCUUAAAAAUAAAAGCUAAUUGCCUUUCCAGUUGUUCAAGGUCCUCAAUUGUUUCAAUAGGAAAGGUGUCAUCCUCAGUGUCCACCACCAUUUGACCACUUGACCAAGGGGCAAGGGACUGGACCACUGAAGUUAGAUGGGUAAUCUUCAUGUCCAGCUCAUUAAGCUUCUCCAAAAUUGCCCUCUCCACAGCUGCAACACACUCGAUGGGUGGUCCCCCCAAGCAUCUUCUUGCUCAUUUACAUGGGACAUGCUUAUUGGAAAAACUGGUGCUGAGAAAAAGGUCAAGUUGCUAAAUGAAAUGUGACCGUAAUUACCUGAAGUGAGACAUACAACUUACAUGGUGCUCUGUCUUGUAAAGGCCGCAGCACAGAAAAUGUGUCCUCUGUUGGAUUGUACAGAAAAUGUUGAGUUACCUAGUGUUGGGGUUUAUCCCAAGUGUCUUGGUGCUCCACUUCCUGGCAGAACCUCACAGGCAUUUCAGAUUCCGAGAUGUCAGAUGUGUAGCAUGCCUGUUUCCAUUUCUUUGAAAUCUUGUCAAAAGAUGCUGAAAGAAAUAAAAAUUCUGGCCUGAUGCUUGGUCCAACCUUUAUCUGGUUGUGGUGCCUCCAUCAACCGGACACUCUUCAACACCCUGUCUAUCUCCUUGUAUGGAGGCCACCACGAGUGACCCUCUGAGUACCAAGACUUUGCGACAGGUCCGGUACUCCCUUCGUGAAUGAACUCCACUAUCAGGUACAUUUUUUUUAAGCUGCAAGAACCUAGAGCCCCAUAGUGUUGAAAGACACAUAUUAAAUUUCGGUUGUUUAUGUGCAUGAUUCAAAUACACAAAAUACAUUUCAUGCAAAAUAAUGAUGCAAGUUAAUAUUGAGAAAUUUUUUCCCAAGCACAUAUUACCAAUUCCAGACCACAUCAAUCUUAAGAACCACUACUACUUUUGUAUUCAUCAUUCUUUAUUGAUAUAUAAUUUUCUGACAACACUCAAAGUAAAAAAUGCUUUAAAUUCAGGUGUUUUACUGAUAAAAAUAUAACUUGGACUGAAAAGUUGCAAAAUUAUUAAAUGACGGUGAAAAGAAGGCAAUACUAGAAAUUGCAAAAUAAAGUAAUGACAACUAUUUUGGAUCAUUUGAAUCGAGCUAUUUUCACUUUCUGCCUUCAUAUAAUAUUACAUAUUGGUUAUAGUUGUAAUUAGGGCUUGACAUUAAUACUCGCCAAACCACCAAAUGCAGGUAGAUUUCAGCUGUGGCGGGUAAAGACUGCCAUUUCCACUAGCCACUUUGGCUGGUUGAAAAUAAUUUUUUAAUCGUAGUUUUCUUAAAAGCAGGGUUCAACAAUAAGGAUGGUCCAGUUUUUGGGACAGUAGACAGGAUUGUCAGUGUCCUGACCAGGCCAGUGCUGGCUUAUCACUAAAUAUUAUAAUUUCAGUUUUUUACCGUUUAUCAAUAUGCAUGCAAAUGUGAUAAAAAAAAAUUAUAUAUAUUUAUUUUUUUCAAAAUUAGUGGUAUACACAGUAAUGAGUGGAACAGCAAAUGAGAUUUUAGAAUCAAGAAGCAGCAUGAUUGACAAAAACAACUGUGUUUAUGCAAAACAAAAGAUAGCAGAUAAAUACCAAAUGAGAGCUUGAUCAUACACACUGUGAGACACAGGCUAUUCUUACUCACUGAGAGAUGUUUUUGAGAGCCGAGUGUUUAAAAUACUUGUGCACUACCGUGUCCUUGCAUGUAGCAAUCCUCCUUGGAAAUGAAACUGGUGUGAUGGAUUCUAUUUGAAAUAGACUGGACAAAAGUAAUUCUCGUGCAUCCACAGUCCUUCUGCUUUCAAGAGCUUUAGAUUUAAAAACAGGUAUUUGUAAGCAGCAGUGAUUGCCACUUUAACCAUUGUUUGAACAGAUUAUUAAUGUGCCUAAUGUUAACUGUGUGCACAUGAUUAAUAUUUCAUUAUCACACAUGGUUUGUUUUUCACCUGCUUUCUUUUGCUUGCAAGUCAAUUUUCUGCAUAUAAAAUAUAUUUUCCCAACAACAAAAUUGUGGCUAGUGAAAAAGGCAAGUGGCUAGUAACCUUGGAAACUACAAGCCUCAGUGACUGGUGAUAAAAAAAGUCAAUAUCAAGCCCUGGUAGUGAUUAAGGUUUACAAUUUUCAAAAUGCUCUAGGAAAAAAUAUGAUCAGAAUAUCAUCUUGCACAAUAAUUAUACUCGCACUAUACAGUAUAUGUAAAAAAAAAAAAAUGUGGAAAUAGAUAGAUACUAUGUGUGUAAAGUUUAAACUGAAACAAAAUAAUUUCUGCAAGGGACUAAAAAAGCUUUCAUUUCAAUAUUUUCAAUCUUGCAGAGAUGGAUUGGUCCUGACAUGACAUCAGUAGGUAGAUGCCAAGUGUGGAGGAUGGAAGCGUGGGGAUAGUCAAAAAGGAGUUAAUGUUUGCUGAAGGUGGUGUAGACCAUGUAAAUGCCAUGCUUUUCUGAAAUUAUGUUUUGCAGCUUUGCAACCUUUCUGCCAAUAUAGACAAAUGGUUUGCCUGGUCCAGUUUCAGAGUAUAUGGGCAUACUCACUCUAGGUGCAUUUCUGAGGAAUGCCAUCCUGUUUUCCAGGUGCACACCAUCCUGAAUACAUGUUUCACACCCAUGGUAACCUGGUUGGCCAUUUUAGAAAAGCAUGUUGCAAAAGCAAACUUGAAUGUUAACUUUAGUCAUUCAAAUUCAAAGCCAUUUUUUUUAACUCUUUGAUUUCAGAGAUUAGGUCUUCGAGAUACUCAUUCAGGGAGCUAGUUUUACAGUACCUUCAGCCCACAAUAAAUCUAUUGGCACAUGUUCCCCCUGCACCAAGUUUUAAACUUCUACUAGACUGAGCCAGCAUUGAGCAAAUGAACUCUUGUAGAGAGGAAGACCAUCAAUGCUCACCUGGAACUUAAAAUUUUUAUCUUCCUUAAAAUGUACAUGUUGUCAUAGAGGACCCUUGAAAUGGAUGCCAUUGAACCAAAAGUAUAUCACUGGCCCUGUGCGUUCAAAGAGAACUCAUGUGCAAAAAGAAGGCUAUUCUCUUUGAACGCACUUUACCUAAUAUUGUCCUUGUAUCUUUUGGCAGACUCGGAUUGUAAUUGUGAAUGAUUAUGAGUAAUUCAUUUAGUGAUGCAUGUGUUAAUUUUUUUUUCUGUUUCCCAUCUUGUCAAAGUCAUCAUUGAGGGGACUUGAACUAGUCAGAUUGACUCGUUUAUGAAGCACUUGCCAGGAUGAUACUGCAUUCAGUCUCAUUAACAUGGGACAAACAGUCCAAGAAGUCAGUGCCGUCUUCAACAGUGCUGCUUGUCAAUGCCACCAUACUGUUCCCUCAAUAGUGAUGCUUAUAACACAUGCAUUGAAUAAAGCUGUUUGUCCACCUUG